AGGCACACAUAUUGAAGUCCGUUUUCAUAGUUUCGGAUCUCAAAAGAUGUUUUUGUUAGUUGUCGGAGACCCUUGCGUCCAAGUUGUGCCAGAUUUAGUUGAACAUCAAACCAGACUUUACGCACCAAUCUGACCGCGGUGUCGGGGGACAGUACCUCAGUUUCCCGCAGACGCUUAAAAUCCUGGCCGAUGGACUGCUGUCUUCACUCAGAAAGCUGGUGUUGUACCAGUUAUCUGGAGUUUCAUCCCCAAAUAUAUUAAAGGAAAUAGGUGGAAUGACUCUCAUUUUUGACAGUGGUUUUGUAACUAAUAACAAAUAAAAUGGCAGUUUGUUAUGGAAUUUAGAA